rnacentral:rRNA from 1 species
CGCUGCUUUUGGGUGAGAUAGCCAUGCGAGUUGAAUGGGAUACCUAAAUUUCCCAUAGCAAACUGCUCAGUAACACAUGAUCAACUUACCCUAUAGAGAAAAAUAACCUCGGGAAACUGAGGAUAAUAUUUCGUAAUUGAAUUGGCUUGGAAAAGUUUUUCAAUGAAAAGGAUAAAAAAAAUGGUUUUUAUCUGCUAUAGGAUAGGAUCGUGUUCGAUUAUGGUUGUUGGUGAGAUAAUGGCUCACCAAGCCGAUAAUCGAUAGGGGCCGUGAGAGCGGGAGCCCCGAGAUGGGUACUGAGACAACGACCCAGGCCUUACGAGGCGCAGCAGGCGCGGAACCUCCGCAAUACACGAAAGUGUGACGGGGUUACCCAAAGUGUUCAAUAGAACUGUGGUAGGUGAGUAAUGUUCCCUACUAGAAAGGAGAGGGCAAGGCUGGUGCCAGCCGCCGCGGUAAAACCAGCUCUUCAAGUGGUCGGGAUAAUUAUUGGGCUUAAAGUGUCCGUAGCCGGUUUAGUAAGUUCCUGGUAAAAUCGGGUAGCUUAACUAUCUGCAUGCUAGGAAUACUGCUAUACUAGAGGGCGGGAGAGGUCUGAGGUACUACAGGGGUAGGGGUGAAAUCUUAUAAUCCUUGUAGGACCACCAGUGGCGAAGGCGUCAGACUGGAACGCGCCUGACGGUGAGGGACGAAAGCCAGGGGAGCGAACCGGAUUAGAUACCCGGGUAGUCCUGGCCGUAAACGAUGCAUACUAGGUGAUGGUACGGCC